rnacentral:rRNA from 1 species
CCUACGGGUGGCAGCAGUGAGGAAUAUUGGUCAAUGGACGAGAGUCUGAACCAGCCAAGUAGCGUGAAGGAUGACUGCCCUAUGGGUUGUAAACUUCUUUUAUAUGGGAAUAAAAUGUUCCACGUGUGGGAUUUUGUAUGUACCAUAUGAAUAAGGAUCGGCUAACUCCGUGCCAGCAGCCGCGGUAAUACGGAGGAUCCGAGCGUUAUCCGGAUUUAUUGGGUUUAAAGGGAGCGUAGGUGGAUUGUUAAGUCAGUUGUGAAAGUUUGCGGCUCAACCGUAAAAUUGCAGUUGAGACUGGCAGUCUUGAGUACAGUAGAGGUGGGCGGAAUUCGUGGUGUAGCGGUGAAAUGCUUAGCUAUCACGAAGAACUCCGAUUGCGAAGGCAGUUCACUGGACUGCAACUGACACUGAGGCUCGACAGUGUGGGUAUCAAACAGGAUUAGAUACCCCGGUAGUC